UUAAAUCGUGAAAUAUGUGUGUUAUAAAGCCGGGGACACACUUAACGACUGAACUGAACACACUAUGAUUUUAAACGCUGACUGUAAACACCGACUGAACGCAACUGGCUCUGACUCGGCGCGUUUGGGCAUGAUCAGUCGUAAUUAUCAAAUUACACUCAUAAUCGGCCUUACAAGCUCAUUUGAAUUCAGUACAACGAAUUCGUUUUGGUGAAAUGCGUCUUAUAUUUGAUCAACCUCUCUUCGCUUUCUAUUACUUUUAUGUGUAAGGCAAAUGCAAGUAGUAAUGCGGGAAAAUGUCGUUAGGGGGCGUGCAAUAUCAAAUAAAUAUAGGUCUCGUAUUGAAUAAAACUUUUCGAUCUUCAGUUAAUCUUAAGUGACAUCAUUUAAAUACUGCCAGAUUGUGUUCAGUGAAGUUGAUUUAUCAUCCAUCGAUCAAGAAUUAAGUUCCAGCUCAGCUGGUUUGGAAAUGAGGUAUAUAUCGAGUCAUUUUGACAUGUAACAAAAUAUUCUUCCUCCCCCGAUGGUAAAAAGCAGUGAUGCUUUCAAAAGCUUAAAAAAAACAACAACAACAAAAAAAAACAACAACAUAGUCCUAAAAUUUAAAAAAGUAAAAAACCACGCAUCAUGGAGCCAGAAGGCACACAAACCAGUAGAGAAACAAACUAAGCACCUGCACUAUAACCAUACAACAAC